AAACUAUAUGAUAAAUAGAUAUAUUAAUUUCAUAGGAACUGCAUCAUAUGCUUACAAUAGCUCACACAUGAGAUAGAUAUACAAUUACAGAUCAUACACAUCAACAAUAUAUAUAGCAGAAAUCGUAGUAGUAAAGUCUCGGCCACACAUCGAUAUUUUAUGUUCAAGGAACACAACAGUAUACAACGUUCCUGAUUCAUACUCCGGCAAAUUCAACAUGGCUGUUAUAAAUUGCAAUACCAGCAUAUAUAUUCAGAGUGGAGCGAUCCUCCAUUUCUGGUGAUCUCCUUUGUUCCAAUAGGCGAGGACAACUUUCGUACCAUUACUGACACCACCAGAUUUCUUAUCACCACGGAGAGCUUCCACAUUCAGGCGAAUGUUGUUAAGCAUCCUCACAAUUCUGUAACCAUCACCUAAAUCCUUGCUCUCAGUCCACAGAAUAGACGCUUCAAGAUCAUCUGGAUCAUAAGGUGUUAGCAGCACCUGCAGAGACACAUUUUGUGGGAUAGGUUUAACUGUGUCAACACGAUAGCAAAUAGUCCAGGAAUUGACAAGGGAAAGCAUACCAUGAGGGUAAUUAUCUACAGGUCAGUUAUAAACUUAAUCUAGAACAAUAAUGAAGCUUGUAAUAUGAAAGCAGCAAAAAGAUAGGAUCAACAUUAUUUUGCAAAGGAAAAUUCUAAGAAAAGAUGAUGAUGUGGUAAAAUAAUUUUAAAGGUUGAGUCGAUCUUCAUGUUACAUAUCGUUGCAUUUGUGUCUCAAAAUCCUAUUUGGGUUUGAAAAGAGACUUUUUCCUAAUCUGAGCGAAAAAAAUAUUCUUAAAUAGGAUGAAUGAAUAUUUCCUUUAUAGAGUAGAAUUUUUAUUUUAGGGUUAUUCUUAAAUUAAGUGUGACUCUUAAUCAGUUUAGGAUUGAAAGGAUUAACACUAUAAACAAUGAUGAAAAGGUCAUUGGUUUUUGCCUAUGAUAGUGACUUUUAACUAAUAGAAUGAGUUUGUCACUCAUUGUAGAGAAGAGUUUUGCCAAUUAUUAAGGAUUUGGCUCUGUCAAUUGAUGAAAGGCUUGUCGUCCUACAUUGGUUUGGGAUAAGGUAUUUGUGUUAUAUAUAAGACUUGGCAAACUCCUCCCCUUGAACUAGCUUUUAGGGUGGAAUUAGGCUCGAUCCAUUUUCUUUACAGGUUUUUACCUAUUGCAGUCCCAUGGAGGAAAAGAGAUUUCGACCUAAGAUGAAAAAAUGACAUAGAAUUCAAGAUCAUAGAGGGAAAGAGAAGGUGAAAAAAGGACAUAAAAGUCAAGAUGAAGGAAUUCUAGUCCAUUGUAGUAAUUAAAGUGGUAAAUAUAUUGAGUUAUAUCUUGGGUGUAAUUAAGUUGAUGGGUAGUAUAGUUUUAGCUUAUAAUUAAUGAUCAUAUUUAUUAAUAGUGGAGAUAGCAUACAUGUAUAUGUAACCCUAUUUUGAAAGGGUGAACUACAAAAAUAUUGGUAU
rnacentral:misc_RNA from 1 species